rnacentral:lncRNA from 10 species
GUUCUUACCGUAGUUAGAAAUUCCUGGCCUAAAGAGCAUGGACAAACAAGGGCAGGGGUUUUAGUGACAGAAGUGAAUAGUUGGGAAUCAAAGUUCUCUUUUUAAAGCCCUGUAAGUUAUUAAAGAAUGCUUAUGUUUGCAGAUAUUUUGUUAGCAAUGAUGUGAUAAAGAGGAGAAGAUCCAAUUAGAUAUUAGAUUCAUUUGAUUAAAAAAGAUUAGUUUCCAAACUAUGAUAUAUAUAUACAAAAAGAAACGUACAAAUUAGAAAAAUGAAAGUCUCACUUACUUCAUUUCCCCAACUCCCAUUCCUUAGAGGCAACUUCCAUUAAAUCUUCUGGCUUCAAAAAUUUGCACUAAAAGAAUGCUCUUUAAAUGAACUUUUUUUUUUUCUCUGUUGAAUUGUUUUAAGAAAGAUACCUGUUUCUUAUAGUAAGAAGGCAUUGCAAAGUGCUAUAAUUGUUUUUCCUUUGUAAAUACACCUGCAAACAAUUGUUUUGUUAUAUUAAUAUUUCUCUGCUGAGUAACAUUUGGCCAAGACUUAACUACCACCAUUGGAUGGCAGCCUAAAUUGCGACCCCUGAGGAAGUGAAUUCAUCCUUGACAAUAGCCUCCAUAAAAUCCAUCUUACAAGUGAUAAUUUUGCACAGAUGUUUUAAAAUGAAAUGUUGAAUAAAUGGUUCCUCUUGUUUCUAGCAAGAAUGUGAGUGAGAGAGCGAGCAAGCAAGAGAAAUGACUAGUGACCAGUUGAGAAAGUCCUGUCUUCCACUGAGCCAUUUCACUCCUGCCCAUCUACUCUCAACAGCUCAAGAGCCGCUGAACCCUCGGAACUCUGUGAGGAUCAGAGGAGACAACAUGUGUGAAAACACCUUACCAAUACAAAGCUGUGCAGAUGUAAAGGAUGGUUAUUCCAGAAUGGAGGUUCUUAACUUGAGAAGGGAAGAGAGAGCUAUUAUUUAUUGAUCUCCUCAUACCUCAAAUGAUGCCAAAAAGAAGAGUGAAGGUAAGCAAUAGUCAUUAGCUCCUUUCUUUACAUGUAACCAAGAUGUGAACCAAGACAGUCUGGAUCAGUUGAACAAUUUAUCCCUAUGAGUCAAUCAAAAUCGAAUAUCACUGAGGCCAUGCUCUGGAGUGGAAAAUAUGGACUUUUAGUAUCAUAGAUACUAACCAUCAGUUAGCUACUGGUUAUUUGGAAAUUGUUGGUGUCUGUUCUUUGUCCAGACUUUGCUGCCUAUUUUGCAAUGCAUAGUUCAUGCUUGUUCUAGUUCUACCAUUCACUCCAAUUUAUGGGUCAUGUAUAAUAACAUUCAGCCGAUCCUUGGUUUCCAACAUGCUCAGGUUAACCAUAAUGAUCCCAACUUCUGUUUCAUGUUGGCUCUUGGUGUGUUUACCCAAAACACAUAGAGUUCUAUUGGAAAGAAUGUAAAGCAAAGUGUAAAAUCAUGAGAGGAGUUCAUUGCAAUAUGCUGGACUAACUUUUGGCCAAAUUUAUGUCUUGGGGGUUGAUUUGGAAACAGUGCUUUCAAUUCCCUUUUACCAUAUAUGUCAGAAGAAUUUCCUGUUAAAUAAUAUGAUGUUUUGACUUGGUUUUAAUAUGUUCUAGUACAAAUACCCAGGGACAAAUUCUUCAGCUGAAUACAUCUGAGAGAUGAAUUGUUUAAUUGAUCUGACAGUCUUUAGGCAACCUGUGAGAAAAUGAUCUGAUUGACUUCCCUCUGGGAAAACCUGCCCUUUUUUCCACCUUUCAUCAUGGUUAAGCAAACAGACAGACAAACAAACAAAACAUAAAUCUAGGAAGUUGUGAUGAAAAAGGAGUUGUUGGCAACAUGUAGGCAGAGGCCAAAAAUAAACAGAGCUGAUUGGAAAGUGACUUUCUUUCUGGGGACGGAGUGUGAGGCUUUUUUUUAGUUGGAAGAUGGAGGAAUCUCAUUGUCUUGGGGAAAAGAGAAAGUUUGAGCAGGAUCAAGAGCAGAGGUCAUAGAGAUGCAAAGAAAGGAAAGUAGGAAAUUUGUUAAAGUUUUGUCUGUUCAACAACUAUCCAGUAGCUACAGACAUCCUUUGUCUCCUCUUAAUGAAUGCAAACCAAGCUUAAAUCCUUGUUGAGCCAGAGAGAACUAGAGUAGACAGGAUGGUGGAAAGAUAAAAGGUGGCCUGGAUGUACAGGAGAUGGGAUGGCGAUGCAAAGAACCCAAAAAAUAGGGCCAGAUUUAAUAACUAGUUAAUGAGCAUAAUUCAAACAAAUUGACCAGAAGAGAAGACCCUGGAUGCACUAGGCAUGACCUUCCAAGGGUAGAAGGAAAUGAGCAGAGAAGACAUUAGUUGUCAAGAUGAAGCACCAGAGAGAGCUCUGGUGGUGAGCCACCAAGUUAAUGCCAGGAAAGCCUGAAGAUAGUAUUCUUUGGGAUGCAGAUUAGGGAUUGGUUUUUCCAGGGGCCAGAUAUCAGAGUUGAACCUAAAUUAAAAAUGAAUGAAACAUAUAUUGGUUAAUUGC